UCUAAAAUGGCAGACCAUUGCAUGGGGUUUAAACCCCCAAUAGGAAGAUAUCUUCUUUUAGAA
rnacentral:tRNA from 1 species